rnacentral:tRNA from 37 species
UGGUGAGGUGGCCGAGAGGCUGAAGGCGCUCCCCUGCUAAGGGAGUAUGCGGUCAAAAGCUGCAUCCGGGGUUCGAAUCCCCGCCUCACCGCCAU